rnacentral:rRNA from 1 species
GAUGAACGCUGGCGGCGUGCUUAACACAUGCAAGUCGAACGGAAAGGCUCCUGCUUGCAGGGGUACUCGAGUGGCGAACGGGUGAGUAACACGUGGGUGAUCUGCCCUGCACUUCGGGAUAAGCCUGGGAAACUGGGUCUAAUACCGGAUAGGACCACAUUUUGGAUGGUGUGGUGGAAAGUUUUUCGGUGUGGGAUGAGCUCGCGGCCUAUCAGCUUGUUGGUGGGGUAAUGGCCUACCAAGGCGUCGACGGGUAGCCGGCCUGAGAGGGUGUACGGCCACAUUGGGACUGAGAUACGGCCCAGACUCCUACGGGAGGGAGCAGUGGGGAAUAUUGCACAAUGGGCGCAAGCCUGAUGCAGCGACGCCGCGUGGGGGAUGACGGCCUUCGGGUUGUAAACUCCUUUCGCUAGGGACGAAGCGCAAGUGACGGUACCUGGAGAAGAAGCACCGGCUAACUACGU